rnacentral:rRNA from 1 species
UAGAGGAAGUAAAAGUCGUAACAAGGUCUCCGUUGGUGAACCAGCGGAGGGAUCAUUACCGAGUUUACAACUCCCAAACCCAUGUGAACAUACCUACUGUUGCUUCGGCGGGAUUGCCCCGGGCGCCUCGUGUGCCCCGGAUCAGGCGCCCGCCUAGGAAACUCAACUCUUGUUUUAUUUUGGAAUCUUCUGAGUAGUUUUUACAAAUAAAUAAAAACUUUCAACAACGGAUCUCUUGGUUCUGGCAUCGAUGAAGAACGCAGCGAAAUGCGAUAAGUAAUGUGAAUUGCAGAAUUCAGUGAAUCAUCGAAUCUUUGAACGCACAUUGCGCCCGCCAGUAUUCUGGCGGGCAUGCCUGUCUGAGCGUCAUUUCAACCCUCAUGCCCCUAGGGCGUGGUGUUGGGGAUCGGCCAAAGCCCGCGAGGGACGGCCGGCCCCUAAAUCUAGUGGCGGACCCGUCGUGGCCUCCCCUGCGAAGUAGUGAUAUUCCGCAUCGGAGAGCGACGAGCCCCUGCCGUUAAACCCCCAACUUUCCAAGGUUGACCUCAGAUCAGGUAGGAA